CAACUAGUUCAUAUGACGACAACGAUAAUUAUUGUAUGAUGGUAGUUGUCUGAAGUCAUAAAAAGCUUAUCGGUAUGCUUAUUCAUUAGAGCGGUUCGAUUCCUGAAACUAUCUCUAGUCUGAUUAAGUGUGGUAACAGUUUUAAGAUGAGUCAAAGAUUCUGGUUGAACAGUUCUCCAUCGACACUAACUGGAAGAAAUAAUUGUUUUAUCAUUUGUCUAAAUAGACUAGCUAGAAUGUGACCAGAGGAAGAUUAAAUGGACAUAUCAUAUAUUUCUCCAUGGACACUGUAAUCCAUAGACGGAUUUUUGACACUAUAUUUGAAUAUUUGUUGUUGAAGUUAAUUGAAUUUUGUGCAAAACCCCUGGAAGAAUAUUCUGUAUCAGACUAACAGUAUAAACGCCACCCAGUAUUUCUGUUUACCUGCUGUUAAACAUCGUAGUA